GGUACCGCGGUGCUGACUGACAGACGGCCGACUGCACGAAACAGGAUGUCACUGACAAGAAGACAGGAGACAGAACCGGAAGUGUCAGAGCUGAAGAUGUUGAGAUUCUAUUUGGGAGAGACGAGGAUGAGGAAUGAGCUCAUUCAUUUUCAGAACAAUUCUCAGCAGUUUUCAUCAUUCAGCACUCAGUGCUUUCACUGAAACAAAUAAAAUAUUCAUGAAGGCUCGA